AUACAUGAAUGUAUCGUAUCGUGUGCAAUUGUUUAUACUGUCUGGUCAAAGUUCGAAAGUUCGAUUUAUAACAAUUCCAUAAGUCGAACGUCAACGACAGUACGAAAACAAUGGCAAUGCAAUGCUUGAGAUUACUUGCAAAUAAUAUAUCUAGAGGUGCAUGCACUGUUAGUAUCAACCGAUACAUUACCUCGCUUUCUAUGCUGCCAGAUACACAUAAAAUGUUAUAUAAAACAUGCAGGGAUUUCGCCGAAGAAGAAUUAAAACCUAUCGCAGCAGAGAUUGAUAAAAAGCAUCUUUUUCCAAAGAAGCAAAUCAAAAAGAUGGGAGAGUUAGGUCUCUUGGGUUUAUGCAUCCCUGAAACACUAGAUGGAACAGGACUGGAUUAUCUGGCUUAUGUUAUAGCCAUGGAAGAAAUCUCCAGAGGUUGUGCGAGUACUGGAGUUAUAAUGAGUGUGCAAAAUUCUCUCUACUUAGGCCCUAUAGACGCAUUCGGGACUGAUAAACAGAAGGAAAAAUACAUUGUUCCUUUUAUGAAUGGUGAGAAGAUCGGCUGUUUUGCUCUCAGUGAACCAGGUAAUGGAUCUGACGCCGGUGCGGCAUCUACUACUGCCAAAGCGGACGGCAGCGUUUAUACGAUUAACGGCACCAAGUCAUGGAUAACAAAUGCGUUUGAAGCUAGUACAAUAAUUCUCUUUGCGACGACUGACAAGUCCAAGAAGCACAAGGGUAUAAGCGCUAUCCUAGUCGACAGUCCAACAGCAGGCCUGAGUCUGGGCAAGAAAGAGGACAAAUUGGGUAUACGAGGUAGCAGCACUUGCUCCUUAAUCUUUGAAGACUGUGAAGUACCACAAGAUAAUAUUUUAGGCAAACCAGGAAUGGGCUUCAAAAUCGCAAUGAUGGCUCUAGAUAGUGGCAGAAUAGGAAUCGCUGCACAAGCAUUAGGUAUAGCUCAAGCAUCUUUGGAUUGCGCGAUGGAUUAUGCAUCUAAACGCCAAGCCUUCGGCCAAUCGAUUAUCAAACUGCAAGCGAUUCAACAAAAAAUCGCUGAUAUGGCUCUAAAAUUGGAAAGUUCAAGACUGUUGACGUGGCGAGCGGCUCAGCUUAAGGAUAACGGUAAACCGUAUACAAAGGAAGCUGCCAUGGCCAAAUUAUCAGCAUCAGAAACCGCCACGUUCUGCGCUCAUCAGUGCUUACAGAUUCUGGGAGGAAUGGGAUACGUGUCGGAUAUGCCGGCGGAACGUCAUUACAGGGAUGCGCGUAUCACGGAGAUCUAUGAAGGCACAUCGGAGAUUCAGAGACUUGUGAUCGCCGCGAAUCUCAUCAAAGAAUACGGUCUCAAUUAAGAUCGCAUGACUCACUCAUAAAUCGUCCGAAUCCUGUGGAAUCAUCUAUGACAGAGCGUAAUAGGGUGUACAUCUGUAGUGAGAGGACCUCGUCCUGUCUUCUGGGACCUGAAUUUAGAUGG